rnacentral:rRNA from 1 species
UGGGGAAUAUUGGACAAUGGGCGCAAGCCUGAUCCAGCCAUGCCGCGUGAGUGACGAAGGCCUUAGGGUUGUAAAGCUCUUUUGGCGGGGAAGAUAAUGACGGUACCCGCAGAAUAAGCUCCGGCUAACUUCGUGCCAGCAGCCGCGGUAAUACGAAGGGAGCUAGCGUUGUUCGGAAUCACUGGGCGUAAAGCGCACGUAGGUGGGCAGUUAAGUCAGGGGUGAAAGCCCGAGGCUCAACCUCGGAAUGGCCUCUGAUACUGGCUGUCUAGAGUCCGAGAGAGGUGGGUGGAAUUCCUAGUGUAGAGGUGAAAUUCGUAGAUAUUAGGAAGAACACCGGUGGCGAAGGCGGCCCACUGGCUCGGUACUGACACUGAGGUGCGAAAGCGUGGGGAGCAAACAGGAUUAGAUACCCCCGUAGUCCCUGAGCGGGCUGGCAAGGCGCAU